UUACUCCAGCAUCUGAUUUCC
rnacentral:siRNA from 1 species